CCCCACAAACGAAACUAUUUUAAGCAGUGGUUUCUGCUCCAUCUGCUAUUUGCUUUACUUUCGUUUUCACUGUAGCCAUGUUGGUCACCCGAACAUUUUUGUUCUGGUUUCGUUACCCGCACAGACUGAUUCGUUAAGUUUGUCGUUGUUUUAUUUUGUAUAGUUGUUGUCAUUUAACAAAAAAAAAAAACUGCUUAAAUAAAAACGGGAACCCUGUGACACACCCUCGUCAUCGGACCGAAGAAGUGGGCGCCGUGUUCUCCUUGGCAUGCAGGGGCACUAGCCGGAGCCUUCGCUUCGUUCGCCAUGGAUGGUCUUUCGCACGAACUGACCUGUAGCGUUUGCCUGGAGAUUUUGGAGAACCCUUACUUGCUGCCAUGCGGACACAGCUUCUGCCUGACCUGCGUGCAAGGAUUAAGAAACGCCAUGGAGUUCAAGUGUCCGGACUGCAGGAGAGAAUGCAGGCAGUGGGACGACAUUGUUAAAAACUUCAGACUAGCGAACAUCGUUGAAGUUUACAGGAAAGGAAAGCAUCAGUCUUUCAGAACCGUGACAUCAUCAGACACCAGCGAUGGAUCCUGGGUAAUCGGUUUGCUGUUGAUGGCUGUUGUCUCUUUGAUGGUCUAUGCUGUUAUUUUGACAAAUAAAGUGGAUGAACCACCAGAUUCUGUGAUACGGGA